GGAUCUGCUUUCACUUGUCUGGAGACUGC
rnacentral:piRNA from 1 species